AGGCAAGUGUCAAGGAAUGUUAUAUAAACCAAUUAUGGAACUCUCCCAACAACUCGAGUUGUUUGAGGUGUAGGAUUUCGGUACAUGGGUUUAGAGCCUUUGACAAACAGGGUAUUGGUACCGAAUCCUGUUGACACUCAAUAAAACCAUUUAUCUUGUACAAGGGUUGGUGGACCUGUUCCAACUUCAAUGUCCUUGGGAUUUUGUAUGGGGGCGUGUUAAGAGAUGUUAUAUAAACCAAUUAUAACCCCUCGUAACAACUCGAGUUAUUAGAAACUACUGAUUCUCAACAGUAAGGAAUACAUGACAGGAGUUACCCAAAGCCAUUGCCACUCCAUAAGGAUCCUUCAUAGCUAUCUCUGAGAUAAUCUC
rnacentral:lncRNA from 1 species